rnacentral:rRNA from 1 species
AAUUCCUUGUCGGGUAAGUUCCGACCUGCACGAAUGGAGUAACGACUUUCCCACUGUCUCAACCAUGGACUCGGCGAAAUUGCACUACGAGUAAAGAUGCUCGUUACGCGCGGCAGGACGGAAAGACCCCGGGACCUUUACUAUAGUUUGGUAUUGGUGUUUGGUACGGCUUGUGUAGGAUAGGUGGGAGACUGUGAAGCCCAGACGCCAGUUUGGGUGGAGUCAACGUUGAAAUACCACUCUGGUCGAACUGGAUGUCUAACUUCGGACCGUGAUCCGGUUCAGGGACAGUGCCUGGUGGGUAGUUUAACUGGGGCGGUUGCCUCCCAAAAUGUAACGGAGGCGCCCAAAGGUUCCCUCAGCCUGGUUGGCAAUCAGGUUUCGAGUGUAAGUGCACAAGGGAGCUUGACUGUGAGACCGACGGGUCGAGCAGGGACGAAAGUCGGGACUAGUGAUCCGGCACCACCUUGUGGAAGGGGUGUCGCUCAACGGAUAAAAGGUACCCCGGGGAUAACAGGCUGAUCUUGCCCAAGAGUCCAUAUCGACGGCAUGGUUUGGCACCUCGAUGUCGGCUCGUCGCAUCCUGGGGCUGGAGUAGGUCCCAAGGGUUGGGCUGUUCGCCCAUUAAAGCGGCACGCGAGCUGGGUUUAGAACGUCGUGAGACAGUUCGGUCCCUAUCCGCUGCGCGCGUAGGAGUCUUGAGGAGGGCUGUCCUUAGUACGAGAGGACCGGGACGGACGAACCUCUGGUGUGCCAGUUGUCCUGCCAAGGGCACGGCUGGUUGGCUAUGUUCGGAAGGGAUAACCGCUGAAGGCAUCUAAGCGGGAAUCUCACUCCAAGACGAGGUACCCCAGAGUUAAAUCUUGAGAGACCCCCGGGAGACGACCGGGUUGAUAGGCGCGAGGUGGACAGCGGGUAACCGACUGGAGCUGACGCGUCCUAAUGGUCA